rnacentral:lncRNA from 1 species
GCUUGAAAGUAGGUAGCAGGGGAGUGCAUUUAUUUUAGUUGAAAGAAGAGGCUCUUGGCAUUUAAAAUUGGAUAGCACUAUUGCAUUGAAGUAAUCUUUUUUUUUUUCCUUUAAAGUGAUGUGGCGCUACUUUUAAUUUUUUAUGUUUUUGGUGCAUGCUACUUUCAUUGUAUUCAAUGCUUUGAUUUAGUUUAGAAAAGGACACGCUGUGAUUGAAUGCUUGGAGCAUUUCCGUUCAAUUUCUUUGAGAAUGUAUAAGCAGUGAUUUCUUGCAUUUACUUCCUUUUAUUGAAAGUUUGAGGUGUCACGGAAAGAGCACUCAUAAUGCGCAUUUCAUUUCUUUACUAUUUAGCAAGCACUCGAUGACUAAUGAUUUCCUUUGAUGAUGAACAUGUUUUCAAUUACUAUGUCCAGCAAGAUAGAAGUAGGCAUUGACUUAUGUUCUCUUGAAGGUGCACACGGGUUGCCAAGCAAGAUGCAUGUUACUUUGAGUAUUUAAUUGUAAUUCAGCUGCACGGGAGAAAAGAAAUUGAUUUUCGUUUCUUUUGGAAGCUACGGUUAAUGGUGAAUAGGUGGUGAUUUCGUUUUGCAAUUUUCAAGCUUUAUUUCAAUGUGCAUUUUAUUUUUAGUUCAAGUAUUGCAUUUUAAUAACUUUAAUUAUGUCUGGAUAUUUGUCUAUGACCGUUUUUAUGUUUCUGCCCGCAUUUCAGUUUUACAUUUCUGUUUGCACCCGUCUUCUGAUUUAGUUUAUCCGCAUUCACAGACCUUUCACAACCCCCCUUCGUGUUAGACCUAAUUCCUGAACCGUAGUGGUCCUUGAGAGAUGACCUAGGGGUCAUUCCCUAGCAUUAUACUGCAUUUCUAAAUUGCAAUCAAAUUUUGGCGCCGUUGUCGGGGACCAACUGUUCGGUUUUAGGUCUUUUGUUGUGUUUGUGUGUGUUGUGUUUUGUCUCGUGUUGUGAGUGUGUUGUUCCGUUUUGUGUGUCGUGUCAUGUGUGUUGCAUUUAGAUAGCUUUAGUUGCGUAUUUUCAUUGCAUUCUUCUUUUCCCC